rnacentral:rRNA from 1 species
AUUGAACGCUGGCGGCAGGCCUAACACAUGCAAGUCGAACGGUAACAGGAAGCAGCUUGCUGCUUUGCUGACGAGUGGCGGACGGGUGAGUAAUGUUUGGGAAACUGCCUGAUGGAGGGGGAUAACUACUGGAAACGGUAGCUAAUACCGCAUAACGUCGCAAGCCCAAAGAGGGGGACCUUAGGGCCUCUUGCCAUCGGAUGUGCCCAGAUGGGAUUAGCUAGUAGGUGGGGUAACGGCUCACCUAGGCGACGAUCCCUAGCUGGUCUGAGAGGAUGACCAGCCACACUGGAACUGAGACACGGUCCAGACUCCUACGGGAGGCAGCAGUGGGGAAUAUUGCACAAUGGGCGGAAGCCUGAUGCAGCCAUGACGCGUGUAUGAAGAAGGCCUUCGGGUUGUAAAGUACUUUCAGCGGGGAGGAAGGGAGUAAAGUUAAUACCUUUGCGCAUUGACGUUACCCGCAGAAGAAGCACCGGCUAACUCCGUG